rnacentral:rRNA from 1 species
ACGUAGGGAGCAAGCGUUGUCCGGAAUUACUGGGCGUAAAGGGUGCGUAGGUGGCUAUGUAAGUCAGAUGUGAAAGACCGGGGCUUAACCCCGGGGUUGCAUUUGAAACUGUGUGGCUUGAGUACAGGAGAGGGAAGUGGAAUUCCUAGUGUAGCGGUGAAAUGCGUAGAUAUUAGGAGGAACACCAGUGGCGAAGGCGACUUUCUGGACUGUAACUGACACUGAAGCACGAAAGCGUGGGGAGCAAACAG